UGGGGAAUUUUGGACAAUGGGGGCAACCCUGAUCCAGCCAUGCCGCGUGCAGGAUGAAGGCCUUCGGGUUGUAAACUGCUUUUGUACGGAACGAAAAGACUCUGGUUAAUACCUGGGGUCCAUGACGGUACCGUAAGAAUAAGCACCGGCUAACUACGUGCCAGCAGCCGCGGUAAUACGUAGGGUGCAAGCGUUAAUCGGAAUUACUGGGCGUAAAGCGUGCGCAGGCGGUGAUGUAAGACAGAGGUGAAAUCCCCGGGCUCAACCUGGGAACUGCCUUUGUGACUGCAUCGCUGGAGUGCGGCAGAGGGGGAUGGAAUUCCGCGUGUAGCAGUGAAAUGCGUAGAUAUGCGGAGGAACACCGAUGGCGAAGGCAAUCCCCUGGGCCUGCACUGACGCUCAUGCACGAAAGCGUGGGGAGCAAACAGG
rnacentral:rRNA from 2 species